rnacentral:rRNA from 1 species
CCUUCGGGAGCGAGUAGAGCGGCGAAAGGGCGAGUAAUGCGUUUUUACGUACCCCGAGGUUGGGGAUAGCCCAGGGAAACCUGGAUUAAUACCCAAUGUGGUGCUUCGGCAUCAAAGGCUUGCCGCCUCGGGAGCGGAGAACGUCCUAUCAGGUUGUUGGUGAGGUAACGGCUCACCAAGCCUUAGACGGGUAGCGGGUGUGAGAGCAUGACCCGCCGCAUCGGGACUGAGACACUGCCCGG